UACGGAGGUUGCAAGCGUUGUUCGGAAUGACUGGGCGUAAAGGGAGCGCAGGCGGCCUUUUAAGUCCGGCGUGAAAGCCCGGGGCUCAACCCCGGCGGGUCGCCGGAUACUGGGAGGCUCGAGUACGGAAGAGGCGAGUGGAAUUCCGGGUGUAGCGGUGAAAUGCGUAGAUAUCCGGAGGAACACCGGUGGCGAAAGCGGCUCGCUGGUCCGAUACUGACGCUCAGGCUCGAAAGCGUGGGGAGCAAACGGG
rnacentral:rRNA from 1 species